AAAAAAAAAAAAAAAGGUUAACAGAGGUCUUUUAAGAUCCUAAGUAUUAGGAGAGUAUCGGAUCAUUACUUUUUUUUUAUUAUGCCAAAGGGGGCACUCAUAUUUUUAUUUUUUUAAUUUCCAACAAAAUAUAGGUGGAUUAGCAAUAAUAUGGGUGCAUAAAUCAGCGCCUUCAUCAUCAGCGUGAAACGUACCACUUCUAGUUCUUCUCUCGACAUUUGACACUUCAUCAGUCACAAGUAGUGAGAGAGAUUGACUUUCCAAAUUCCAGAACAGCCCCUGCCAUUGAAGACUGAUUAUGCUACACCAUUUUCUCUCUGCCUUCAUUUCCAUGCGUGCUAUUUUUUGUGGGUUUUCUUCUAUUUCUCUCUCUCAACCCCAUUUCCAUGCAUGUUAAUUUUUGUGGGUUUUCUCAUAACUUUUUCUCUCUCAUUCUUCAAUCUCAAAUUCAGGACGCCCCUCUCUAAAAGUAUGAUUUGGGGCCAAGACAACUCUUUUCUCUCUGACUAGCCCCACAAAAGGUAUGAUUUUGAUUCUCUCUCUAGCUUCAAACGCAAAGUACUUUUUUUUUUGACAAGAGUAAUGAAUAUUAUUAGAUCA
rnacentral:lncRNA from 1 species